rnacentral:rRNA from 1 species
CCUACGGGAGGCAGCAGUGAGGAAUAUUGGACAAUGGGCGCAAGCCUGAUCCAGCCAUGCCGCGUGCAGGAAGACGGUCCUAUGGAUUGUAAACUGCUUUUAUACAGGAAGAAAUACUUUCUCGUGAGAGAGCUUGACGGUACUGUAAGAAUAAGGAUCGGCUAACUCCGUGCCAGCAGCCGCGGUAAUACGGAGGAUCCAAGCGUUAUCCGGAAUCAUUGGGUUUAAAGGGUCCGUAGGCGGUUUAAUAAGUCAGUGGUGAAAUCUGGUCGCUCAACGAUCAAACGGCCAUUGAUACUGUUAGACUUGAAUUAUUGUGAAGUAACUAGAAUAUGUAGUGUAGCGGUGAAAUGCUUAGAUAUUACAUGGAAUACCAAUUGCGAAGGCAGGUUACUAACAAUGGAUUGACGCUGAUGGACGAAAGCGUGGGGAGCGAACAGGAUUAGAUACCCUGGUAGUCCACGCCGUAAACGAUGGAUACUAGCUGUUGGGCGCAAGUUCAGUGGCUAAGCGAAAGUGAUAAGUAUCCCACCUGGGGAGUACGUUCGCAGAUGAACUCAAAGGAAUUGACGGNGAGAGAGNGCGAGACGACGACGAGGGAGGAGG